rnacentral:rRNA from 1 species
GGACUACAGGGGUAUCUAAUCCUGUUUGAUACCCACACUUUCGUGCCUCAGCGUCAGUUACAUACCAGUAUGCUGCCUUCGCAAUCGGUGUUCUGUGCAAUAUCUAAGCAUUUCACCGCUACACUGCACAUUCCGCAUACCUCACUUGCACUCAAGACCAACAGUUUCAACGGCAAUUUUACAGUUGAGCUGCAAACUUUCACCGCUGACUUAUACAGUCCGCCUACGCACCCUUUAAACCCAAUAAAUCCGGAUAACGCUCGGAUCCUCCGUAUUACCGCGGCUGCUGGCAC